GCCUUCCCAUGGCGCCUGUUUAUCAAAAACAUGGUUUUUUGGAUUUAUAAAAAAUCGAAUCUGCUCAGUGCAUAGAAGUAAAUAGCCGCAGUAUUAUGACUGUGCUAAGGUAGCAUAAUCAUUUGCUUUUUUAUUGAAGGCUAGUAUGAAUGAUUUGACGUGAUAAAUUCUGUCUUCAGAAAGUUUAUUAAAUUUAAUAAUAUGGUAAAAAGGCCGUAAUGUAUCUAAGGGACGAUAAGACCCUAUAAGCUAAAUUUUUGAAAUUUACUGGGGCGGUAAUUUAAGACUUGAAUCUUAAAAUUUAUGAUUAAAAUAUGUGACCCAAUAAUAUUGAGUGUUAGAGGAAGCUACUAUAGGGAUAACAGCUUAAUUUUUUUAAAAAGUUCUUAUUUUAAAAAAAGUUUGUGACCUCGAUGUUGAAUUAAAGGUUCUUUUUGGUGAAGGAGCUAGAAAAAGAGAGUCUGUUCGACUUUUAAAUCUUUACGUGAUCUGAGUUCAGACCGGCCAUGGAAGCUCUA
rnacentral:rRNA from 1 species